GACGAACGCUGGCGGCGUGCUUAACACAUGCAAGUCGAACGGAAAGACGCGGCGUUUGUGGGUUUCUCGAUUGGCGAACGGGUGAGUAACACGUGAGUAACCUGCCCUUAACUUUGUGAUAACUUUAGGAAACUGGGGCUAAUACAGGAGAGGAUCUCCUGCACCGUGGUGGGGAUUGGAAAGUUUCGGCUGUUGGGGAUGGACUAGCUGCUUAUCAGCUUGUUUGUGGGGUAGUGGCUUACCAAGGCUUUGACGGGUAGGCGGCCUGAGAGGGUUACCGGCCACAUUGGGACUGAGAUACGGACCAGACUCCUACGGGAGGCAGCAGUGGGGAAUAUUGCACAAUGGGCGGAAGCCUGAUGCAGCAACGCCGCGUGCGGGAUGACGGCCUUCGGGUUGUAAACCGAUUUCGCCUGUGACGAAGCGUGAGUGACGGUAAUGGGUAAAGAAGCAACGGCUAACUACGUG
rnacentral:rRNA from 1 species